rnacentral:ncRNA from 9 species
CCACCAGGAGUGGAGCCUGCGGCUUA